rnacentral:rRNA from 1 species
AUUGAACGCUGGCGGCAUGCCUUACACAUGCAAGUCGAACGGCAGCACGGGUGCUUGCACCUGGUGGCGAGUGGCGAACGGGUGAGUAAUACAUCGGAACAUGUCCUGUAGUGGGGGAUAGCCCGGCGAAAGCUGGAUUAAUACCGCAUACGAUCUACGGAUGAAAGCGGGGGACCUUCGGGCCUCGCGCUAUAGGGUUGGCCGAUGGCUGAUUAGCUAGUUGGUGGGGUAAAGGCCUACCAAGGCGACGAUCAGUAGCUGGUCUGAGAGGACGACCAGCCACACUGGGACUGAGAAACGGCCCAGACUCCUACGGGAGGCAGCAGUGGGGAAUUUUGGACAAUGGGCGAAAGCCUGAUCCAGCAAUGCCGCGUGUGUGAAGAAGGCCUUCGGGUUGUAAAGCACUUUUGUCCGGAAAGAAAUCCUUGGCCCUAAUACGGUCGGGGGAUGACGGUACCGGAAGAAUAAGCACCGGCUAACUACGUG